UACGUAGGGUGCGAGCGUUAAUCGGAAUACUGGGCGUAAAGCGUGCGCAGGCGGUGAUGUAAGACAGAUGUGAAAUCCCCGGGCUCAACCUGGGAACUGCAUUUGUGACUGCAAGGCUUGAGUGUGUCAGAGGGAGGUGGAAUUCCGCGUGUAGCAGUGAAAUGCGUAGAUAUGCGGAGGAACACCGAUGGCGAAGGCAGCCUCCUGGGAUAACACUGACGCUCAUGCACGAAAGCGUGGGGAGCAAACAGG
rnacentral:rRNA from 1 species